CAACAACCCUAUUGCCAGCAGAGGCCUCUCUAAGCAAAAGGCAGAAACAGCCUGAGCCUUGCGGGAACUCCUGCUCUGCUGUAAUUGGCCCUCUUCAGGGAUGUGAGGGAUUGCUGCAGGAAAGCAGGACUCAGAAGACAACUCACUUCCAAUUAACCUUGCUCCUGGUCCUGCGGAACUGAAGGAUCUCUGGAUGGGCAGAUCCAUAAGCCUGGCCUUCGUCUCUUCCUCUACACUGAUUCUCAGAAGCCUACGCUUGCUUCGAGGCCCAGUUAAUGCACCACCUCCUACAGGAAGCCUCUUCUGAUCCAGCUAAUUGCCGACCGUAGAGGGCCGCCAGAUCCAGGGGGGUUUCCAACUUGCUAUUUCGGAUAGUAGGAUCUGUGAGCUCCUCCAAGAGGACAGCGACGACCUCCGAGUGUCCAUACUGAGCAGCGC